rnacentral:rRNA from 1 species
AACGAACGCUGGCGGCAUGCCUAACACAUGCAAGUCGAACGAGACCUUCGGGUCUAGUGGCGCACGGGUGCGUAACGCGUGGGAACCUGCCCUUAGGUUCUGAAUAACUCCCCGAAAGGGGUACUAAUACCGGAUAAUGUCUUCGGACCAAAGAUUUAUCGCCUUUGGAUGGGCCCGCGUUGGAUUAGCUAGUUGGUAGGGUAAACGCCUACCAAGGCGACGAUCCAUAGCUGGUCUGAGAGGAUGAUCAGCCACACUGGGACUGAGACACGGCCCAGACUCCGACGGGAGGCAGCAGUGGGGAAUAUUGGACAAUGGGCGAAAGCCUGAUCCAGCAAUGCCGCGUGAGUGAUGAAGGCCUUAGGGUUGUAAAGCUCUUUUACCCGGGAUGAUGAUGACAGUACCGGGAGAAUAAGCUCCGGCUAACUCCGUG